GGGGGUGACACGGUUUCGACGGAGUACGACAGCCGUCGUAGCUGCAUGCCGAGCUUGCUGGUGCUGCUCGUAAAUACAACCAGCGAUGGCAAAAUGCCAACUCAUACAGCUACGCAAUGGCUGCCUAAACUAGGCACCGUUGCUGGGAUGCGUCGAGCAUAGCUCCGCUCCCUGCUGCCCGCACGUGCGCCAUCACGCGUGCGAUCGCAGCAUCGAACACCUGAUGGCCUGCUUGCACGGGGUAUCGUUCCUCUGUGCGAGCGGUAAUUCCGAACGAUAGCGUUGGCGGCGCGUGUUGCUCCGCCUCCGCCGACGCGAAGCAACUCAACGGGCAACUGAGCAUGGAGAUGCUACGCGACUGGUGCUCCGGACCCGGGUUCGACUCCCGGCACCUCCACCA
rnacentral:tmRNA from 1 species